ACGGCUCAGUAACACGUGGACAACCUACCCUGAGGUCGGGGAUAAACCCGGGAAACUGGGUAUAAUACCCGAUAGAUCUAGAUCGCUGGAAUGCUUUUAGGUCUAAAGUUCCGACGCCUCAGGAUGGGUCUGCGGCCUAUCAGGGUAGUAGUGGGUGUAAAGUACCUGCUAGCCCACGACGGGUACGGGUUGUGAGAGCAAGAGCCCGGAGAUGGAUUCUGAGACACGAAUCCAGGCCCUACGGGGUGCAGCAGGCGCGAAACCUUUACAAUGCUGGCAACAGCGAUAAGGGGACCUCGAGUGCUACGAUACAAUCGUGGCUGUCUAGUUGCCUAAAAAGCAAUUGAUAGCAAGGGCCGGGCAAGACCGGUGCCAGCCGCCGCGGUAACACCGGCGGCUCGAGUGGUAACCGCUAUUAUUGGGUCUAAAGGGUCUGUAGCCGGCUUAGUUAGUCUCUUGAGAAAUCUGGCCGCUCAACGGUCAGGCGUUCAGGGGAUACUGCUCAAGCUCGAGACCGGGAGAGGUGAGAGGUACUUCAGGGGUAGGGGUGAAAUCUUGUAAUCCUUGAAGGACCACCAGUGGCGAAGGCGUCUCACCAGAACGGAUCUGACGGCAAGGGACGAAAGCUAGGGGCACGAACCGGAUUAGAUACCCGGGUAGUCCUAGCCGUAAACGAUACUCGCUAGGUGUCGGCCACGGUGCGACCGUGGUCGGUGCCGUAGGGAAGCCGUGAAGCGAGCCACCUGGGAAGUACGGCCGCAAGGCUGAAACUUAAAGGAAUUGGCGGGGGAGCAC
rnacentral:rRNA from 1 species